UACAGAGGAUGCAAGCGUUAUCCGGAAUGAUUGGGCGUAAAGCGUCCGCGGGUGGUUUUGUAAGUCUGCUGUUAAAGCGUUAGGCUCAACCUAAUAAGGGCAGUGGAAACUAUGAGACUAGAGUAUGUUAGGGGUAGAGGGAAUUCCCAGUGUAGCGGUGAAAUGCGUAGAGAUUGGGAAGAGCACCGGUGGCGAAGGCGGGACUCUGGGCCGAUACUGACGCUGAGGAGCGAAAGCGUGGGGAGCAAACAGG
rnacentral:rRNA from 1 species